AGUGAACGCUGGCGGUAGGCCUAACACAUGCAAGUCGAACGGCAGCACAGUAAGAGCUUGCCCGUACGGGUGGCGAGUGGCGGACGGGUGAGGAAUACAUCGGAAUCUACUUUUUCGUGGGGGAUAACGUAGGGAAACUUACGCUAAUACCGCAUACGACCUACGGGUGAAAGCAGGGGAUCUUCGGACCUUGCGCGAUUGAAUGAGCCGAUGCCGGAUUAGCUAGUUGGCGGGGUAAAGGCCCACCAAGGCGACGAUCCGUAGCUGGUCUGAGAGGAUGAUCAGCGACACUGGGACUGAGACACGGGCCAGACUCCUACGGGAAGCCGCAGUGGGGAAUAUUGGACAAUGGGCGCAAGCCUGAUCCAGCCAUACCGCGUGGGUGGAGAAGGCCUUCGGGUGGUGAAGCACUUUUGUUGGGAAAGAAAAGCAGCAGGUUCAUAACCCGCUGUUCUGACGGUACCCAAAGAAUAAGCACCGGCUAACUUCGUG
rnacentral:rRNA from 1 species